rnacentral:rRNA from 1 species
UUCGUAGGCGGUGCGGCAAGUUGGGAGUGAAAUCUCUGGGCUCAACCCAGAGGCUGCUUCCAAAACUGCUGUGCUCGAGUAUGAGAGAGGCUCGUGGAAUUGCAGGUGUAGCGGUGAAAUGCGUAGAUAUCUGCAGGAACACCCGUGGCGAAAGCGGCGAGCUGGAUCAUUACUGACGCUGAGGAACGAAAGCUAGGGGAGCAAACAGGAUUAGAUACCCUGGUAGUCCUAGCCCUAAACGAUCAGGACUUGGGGUGCCGCCCGUUCGGGCGUCGUCCCGGAGCUAACGCGUUAAGUCCUGCACCUGGGGAGUACGGUCGCAAGACUGAA